rnacentral:rRNA from 1 species
UACGUAGGUGGCAAGCGUUAUCCGGAAUUAUUGGGCGUAAAGAGCUCGUAGGUGGCUUGUCGCGUCUGCCGUGAAAACCCGAGGCUCAACCUCGGGCGUGCGGUGGGUACGGGCAGGCUAGAGUGUGGUAGGGGAGACUGGAACUCCUGGUGUAGCGGUGAAAUGCGCAGAUAUCAGGAAGAACACCGAUGGCGAAGGCAGGUCUCUGGGCCAUUACUGACACUGAGGAGCGAAAGCAUGGGUAGCGAACA